rnacentral:rRNA from 1 species
GCAAGUCGAACGGUAACAGCGAAGUUUACUUUGGCUGGCGAGUGGCGCACGGGUGAGUAACGGUACACAAUCUACCUCUAAGUGGGGACUAGUCUAGGGAAACUUAGAAUAAUACCCCAUGGUAUUAUCGGCUCGCAUGGUCUGAUAAUUAAAGCUCCGGUGCUUGGAGAUGAGUGUGCGUCCUAUUAGCUAGAUGGUAAGGUAACGGCUUACCAUGGCAGUGAUAGGUAGGGGGCGUGAGAGCGUGGUC